rnacentral:rRNA from 1 species
AUUGAACGCUGGCGGCAGGCUUAACACAUGCAAGUCGAGCGGGGUGAUGGUGCUUGCACUAUCACUUAGCGGCGGACGGGUGAGUAAUGCUUAGGAAUCUGCCUAUUAGUGGGGGACAACAUCUCGAAAGGGAUGCUAAUACCGCAUACGUCCUACGGGCGAAAGCAGGGGAACACUUUUGACCUUGCGAUAAUAGAUGAGACUAAGUCGGAUUAGCUAGUUGGAGGGGUAAAGGCCUACCAAGGCGACGAUCUGUAGCGGGUCUGAGAGGAUGAUCCGCCACACUGGGACUGAGACACGGCCCAGACUCCUACGGGAGGCGGCAGUGGGGAAUAUUGGACAAUGGGGGGAACCCUGAUCCAGCCAUGCCGCGUGUGUGAAGAAGGCCUUAUGGUUGUAAAGCACUUUAAGCGAGGAGGAGGCUCUUUUGGUUAAUACCCAAGAUGAGUGGACGUUACUCGCAGAAUAAGCACCGGCUAACUCUGUGCCAGCCGCCGCAGUAA